AACGAACGUUAGCGGCGCGCCUAACACAUGCAAGUCGAGCGAGAAAGGGCUUCGGCCCCGGUAAAGCGGCGCACGGGUGAGUAACACGUGGAUAACCUACCCCUUGGUGGUGGAUAACCUUCCGAAAGGAGGGCUAAUACAGCGUAAGACCACGACUUCGAAAGAGGUUGAGGUAAAGUGGGCCUCUGUACACAAGCUCACGCCGAGGGGAUGGGUCCGCGGCCCAUCAGCUAGUUGGUAGGGUAACGGCCUACCAAGGCGAAGACGGUAGCUGGUCUGAGAGGAUGAUCAGCCACACUGGAACUGAGACACGGUCCAGACUCCUACGGGAGGCAGCAGUGGGGAAUCUUGCGCAAUGGACGAAAGUCUGACGCAGCGACGCCGCGUGAGUGA
rnacentral:rRNA from 1 species